rnacentral:rRNA from 1 species
GACGAACGCUGGCGGCGUGCUUAACACAUGCAAGUCGAACGAAGUGGCGAACGGGUGAGUAAUACGUGGGUAACCUGACCUCCUUUUUGGGCUAAGCCUUGGAAACGGGGUCUAAUAACGAAUAACGGGGGAUGGGCUCGCGGCCUAUCAGCUGGUUGGUGGGGUGAUGGCCUACCACGGCGGUGACGGGUAGCUGGCCUGAGCGGGUGAGCGGCAACAUUGGAACUGAGAUACGGCCCAGACUCCUACGGGAGUCAGCAGUGGGUGAUAUUGCACAAUGGGCGCAAGCCUGAUCCAGCCAUGCCGCGUGUCUGAAGAAGGCCUUCGGGUUGUAAAGGACUGUUGUUAGGAAAACGUUACCUAAAGAAUAAGCACCGGCUAACUACGUGCCAGCAGCCGCGGUAAUUC